rnacentral:rRNA from 1 species
CGCAUCUGUGCAUGCAGCAUAUCAAUAAGCGGAGGAAAAGAAACUAACAAGGAUUCCCUUAGUAACGGCGAGUGAAGCGGGAAGAGCUCAAAUUUGAAAUCUUCAAGGUUCUACCUUGACGAAUUGUAGUUUAAAGAAGUGUUUUCUGUUAGAUGAGUAGCAAAAGUUCCUUGGAAUGGGACAUCAUAGAGGGUGAGAAUCCCGUAUUUGGUUAUUCAUUCUAGCUUUGUGAUACACUUUCAAAGAGUCGGAUUGUUUGGGAAUGCAGUCCAAAAUGAGUGGUAAAUUUCAUCUAAAGCUAAAUAUUGGCGAGGAGACCGAUAGCGAACAAGUACCGUGAGGGAAAGAUGAAAAGAACUUUGAAAAGAGAGUUAAACAGUACGUGAAAUUGUCAAAAGGGAAGCGUUUGACACCAGGUGUUGUUUUUCUGAAAAUCAAUUAAAGAACUGUUUAUGCUAAGCUUGUUUAGACUUUAUUAGCUAUCUGUUUAGUUUUGAGCUUUUCUUUAAUGCACUUUUCAGUUAACAAGUCAACAUCAAUUUCUUUUGCUGUAAAAAAGCUUGAGGAAGGUGGCUUGAGAUUCGUCUUAAGUGUUUAUAGCCUCUUGCCUAUGCAGUCGGAGAGAUUGAGGUCUGCAGCGUAGAUCCUUCGGGGCUAAAUGCAUUUGUGCUAAGUUAUAGCAUUUUAUAGACAACUUGUUGACUAUGAUUUGUCUUGUAGCUUACUCGCUUAUGUUAUUUUACCUACGCUUAGGAUGUUGACGAGACUGUCGAUCUCAUCUAUACAUGACUCUGUGCAUAUCAAUAAGCGGAGGAAAAGCUGUUACCUACGCUUAGGAUGUUGAGCGCAUGUCUCUCUCU